AGCAGCCGCGGUAAUUCCAGCUCCAAUAGCGUAUAUUAAAGUUGUUGCAGUUAAAAAGCUCGUAGUUGAAUUUCGGGAUCAAUACGUCGGUCGUGCUUCGGUACGUACUGGCGUAAUUGAUUUCUCCCUUCUGACGAACCAUGAUGUCAUUAACUUGGUGUCAUGGGAAAUCAGGACUGUUACUUUGAAAAAUUAGAGUGUUUAAAGCAGGCUCACGCUUGAAUACAUUAGCAUGGAAUAAUGAAAUAGGACGUUCGAUCCUAUUUUGUUGGUUUUUAGGAUCAACGUAAUGAUUAAUAGGGAUAGUUGGGGGCAUUAGUAUUCAAUUGUCAGAGGUGAAAUUCUUGGAUUUAUUGAAGACUAACUACUGCGAAAGCAUUUGCCAAGGAUGUUUUCAUUAAUCAAGAACGAAAGUUAGGGGAUCGAAGACGAUCAGAUACCGUCGUAGUCUUAACCAUAAACUAUGCCGACUAGGGAUCGGAUGAUGUUAAUUUUUAAUGACUCAUUCGGCGCCUUACGG
rnacentral:sRNA from 1 species